ACUACGAUAUCAUCCCAUAUACUAUUUUUUCUUCCUCCCAGCCUCCACUUCUUUCGAGCCCUUCACCCCUUGUGGAAAAGAUAGAAGAAUGUACUGAGUCACUUCUCUACAUCUACAUAUGUGGAAGUUUUUAUUUUGCUCUGAUGUAGGUCCAGAAGCUGAAGAUCAUCACCUAGAGAUCCAUGUAUGUGUGUUUGUCCCAGCACAUAGUUCUCUUUCAUAUCCCGGCCAGGUUUUCGAUUGCUGCUAAGAUAAUAAUCGCUGAUGA
rnacentral:lncRNA from 1 species